rnacentral:rRNA from 1 species
GUGACGUGGGUGCCAGCGGGGGCUGGAAUACGAAGGGGGAAAGCGUUACUCGGAUUUAGUGGGCGUAAAGCGUGCGUAGGUGGCUUUUUAAGUCGGAGGUGAAAUCCCCGAGCUUAACGUGGGAAUUGCAGUCGAGACUGGGAAGCUAGAGUAUGGGAGAGGAUGGUAGAAUUCCAGGUGUAGCGGUGAAAUGCGUAGAGAUCUGGAGGAAUACCGAUGGCGAAGGCAGCCAUCUGGCCUAAUACUGACGCUGAGGUACGAAAGCAUGGGGAGCAAACAGGAUUAGAUACCCGAGUAGUC